rnacentral:rRNA from 1 species
UACGUAGGGGGCUAGCGUUGUCCGGAUUUAUUGGGCGUAAAGAGCGUGUAGGCGGUCGGGUAGGUCGGUUGUGAAAACUGGAGGCUCAACCUUCAGAGGUCGACCGAAACCCCCUGGCUAGAGUCCGGGAGAGGAGAGUGGAAUUCCUGGUGUAGCGGUGAAAUGCGCAGAUAUCAGGAAGAACACCCGUGGCGAAAGCGGCUCUCUGGAACGGUACUGACGCUGAGACGCGAAAGCGUGGGGAGCGAACAGG